rnacentral:misc_RNA from 1 species
UUGUUUAGAUUGGAUUUUUGAAUCUAGCAUGUAAUAGCCAGAUUCCGAAACAAAUAAUGAAUUUGGAUACUAAAAGGAGACGUGUCACGAUUCCAAGAGGAACGAGAGCACGCCUCCCCGUUUUUUAAUGAUCCUUCCGCAGGUUCACCUACGGAAA